GCCACUUCCAGGCCUUUAUUGUUCCAUCCAUUCCUGCUGAAAGCAAAAAGAUCAUUUGAUUUCCAGGCAAAGAACUCCCUCCAGGGACUCCGAGUUCACUGAUUCAGAAGCUCUGAGUACAGCUUGUUCAUCUAGCACAAGCCAUGUCAGGGUGCCAGCGGGGGAGUCAGGAGGGAUUACUGACUCUUGCUGUCAUCAGGGGCCAGGGCUGCUGAUAAGGCUCCCUGGAGCCUCAGCGUGGGCUGAAGCAUUUUCCUGUGCUUUCAGACCAGCAAUGUAAGUAACAGAUAAUGGCAGCAUCCUGACCUGCGAGAGGCAAGGGAGCCUCACCUCACAUCCUUCUGGGGGAGAUCUGGGUAAUCUGAGCAGGCAGUCAACUGAGACCAGCCAAAGCGAGUGGUAGCCAAAGGCGCUAGGUCCUCUGGGGUCCUGUGGUCAGCAGCUGUUGCUUGAUCGUCUACUUUGGGGCUUGCCUUUGGGGCACCACCUCUUCCAUAUAGGACUCCAUUCAUCCCAUUGUGCACACCCAGCUGAGAAGAAGCAUUUCUUUGGUAGCUUCCCUGAUACCUCAGUUGGUAAAGAAUCUGCCUGCAGCACAGGAGACCUGGGUCUGAUCCCUCUGUCGGGAAGAUCCCCUGGAGAAGGAAACGGCAAAUCACUCCAGUAUUCUUGUCUGGGAAAUCCCAUGGACAGAGGAGCCUGGAGGACUACAGUCCAUGGGGUCGCAAGAGAUGGACAUGACUCAGCGACUAAACCGCCACCGCUGCCACCACAGAAGCACUCUGUGACUCUGGGCUGCUUGCCUGGUGUGAGGGAAUUGGACCUACAUUUCCUUAGCUGACUUGCACUUGUCCAGUGACAGUGGUGGCGAUUUCCUCUGAGUUAACUCCAGGGAAUCUUGGAAGCAUCUGAGCAUCGCUCCUCAGUUCCAGAGACAUCCUUCCCUGCCUCCAUUGUGUAGAACAGUGAUUCUCAAAGUGUGGUUUGCAGACUUUUGGGAGGUUUCCCCAAAUCCUUUCAGGGUUCUGUAAGGUCAAGUCUAUUUUCCAGAUAACACUAGGAAAGUAUCCUGUGUUAGAAGAUUACAAUUAACCCAUGUAGAUACUGUGCCCUGCAAGAGGGGGAGCAGGGCUCCCUGCUCUUUAAGUGUGGGCUGCACAAAGUGAUAUUCUUCUAUAGAGAACAAUGUGGAAAGGGGGAAUGAGAGUUACUGGACCAUAGAAACAUCUGAGAAAGACAACUGCAGCCCGGUGAUCAAGGCCAACAUCAGUAGAGGUAAGUCAUGUUGAUAGUAUACACCCUCGAUAAGACGUGAUGAGAAGGGCAUUUUAUUUAUGUAGUCUUCCUCCCCCCCAAAUUCAUGAACUCACGCUAAUCAAGAGAAAACAUCAGAUCCAUUCCAAUUAAGGGACAUUCCACAAAAUAUCUGAACAAAGCUCUGCAAAACUGUUGAAAUCAUCAAAACCAAUGAAAGUGAGGAAAUGAUGCAAUGAAGCCUAUGGAUGCAUGAGAACUCAAUGUAAGGAGGUAUGUUGGGUGAGGUUCUGAAACAACAACAAAAUACAAGUAAGAACUAGGAAAAUCUGUAUGUAGACUGGACUUUAGGUGAUAAUAAUGUUUCACUGUUGGUUCUUUGGAUGACACAAAUGUACCUUACUAACACAAGAUGUUAAUAACAAGAGAAAAUGGGUGUGAGGUUCUUGAGAACAUGUUGUACUGUCUGUGCAGUGUUCCUGCAAAUCUAAAAGUAUUCUAAAAUAAAAAUCUUACUUUAAAAAACUCA
ensembl:lncRNA